UGCAAUCCAUGAUGAAACUUUUCUAUUGUGCUGAUGCUUCUAAGCUGAUUAAUGCAAGAAAAUUUCACCAUCUUUCGGCUGAGAUUGCA